rnacentral:rRNA from 1 species
AACGAACGCUGGCGGCAGGCCUAACACAUGCAAGUCGAGCGGGCGCAGCAAUACGUCAGCGGCAGACGGGUGAGUAACACGUGGGAACGUGCCCAUCAGUUCGGAACAACCCAGGGAAACUUGGGCUGAUACCGGAUACGCCCCGGACUUGAUCCGGGGGAAAGAUUUAUCGCUGAAGGAGCGUCCCGCGUCUGAUUAGCUGGUUGGUGAGGUAAUGGCUCACCAAGGCGACGAUCAGUAGCUGGUCUGAGAAGAUGAUCAGCCACACUGGGACUGAGACACGGGCCAGACUCCAACGUGAGGCAGCAGUGGGAAUAUUGGACCGUGGGCGCAAGCCUGAUCCAGCCAUGCCGCGUGAGUGAUGAGGGCCCUAGGGCUGUACACCUCUUUCGGCGGGGACGAUAAUGACGGUACCCGCAGACGAAGCUCCGGCUAACUUCGUGCCAGCAGCCGCAGUAAUAC